UACGGAGGGUGCGAGCGUUGUCCGGAAUCACUGGGCGUAAAGCGCACGUAGGCGGAUCUUUAAGUCAGGGGUGAAAUCCCGAGGCUCAACCUCGGAACUGCCUUUGAUACUGGGGAUCUCGAGUCCGGGAGAGGUGAGUGGAAUUGCGAGUGUAGAGGUGAAAUUCGUAGAUAUUCGCAAGAACACCAGUGGCGAAGGCGGCUCACUGGCCCGGAACUGACGCUGAGAUGCGAAAGCGUGGGGAGCAAACAGG
rnacentral:rRNA from 1 species